AGACAAUUAGAUGACGUGUCCAACACGAUACUCAUGAUGACACUGAGCAAUUGAGCACUGCCAAUUUGCCACUGCUAACGCCUUCCACCCCAGACAUAUCCAACAGUUUCCCUUUCCGCCGAAUCCCCCACCCACUCCAAAAUUCUGUCAACCCUUCCUUCAAAUUUCACCUUCUCCCUCACACCACACCACAACCCAAUCCCUUCAUGAUAUCACUCUCACUCUCUCCAUGCCCUUGAAAACAGUUAUACGGCGGAGACUACUGUCUCUGUUCCAGCCAUGGCUCGCUGAAGAGCCUCACCUCGAUCUCCAAUUAGGGUUCCUCCGUUCCCUCGCCGUCUUCUCCGACCUUCGCUUCGACGCCUCCGCUCUCAACCGCCUCUUCCACUCUCCCGCCUUCCUCUUCUUCAAGGACCUCUCCGUCGAGCGCCUCACUCUCCGAUUCUCCACCUGGUUCCCCCCGGCCUUCACCGUCGAACUCCACGGCGUCCGCAUUGUGCAAUCCUUCGAGAAGCCGGAAGCGGAGGAAUGCGCAGCGAGGUUGCGAAAUUCGAAGUAUGAUUGUGAGGAUUAUCUCAGAAAGAAUCUCUCGGCGCUUGAUCCUGAGGGCUGUUCAUUGCAUGACAUUUUGGAAAGGAUCUUAUUUGCUGCACCUGAGAAAAAAGAUUUUACAACAUCUUUUUGGAAUCUUAUUCUGAAAAACUGUCAUCUAGUGGCACAUUGCAUUCAUGUGGAGAUUCAACUGCCGGUCUUAAAUGACGAGUUUAUGUGUUUUGGGGAAAUAAAGGAGUUAAGCGUAAGAUCUAAAUAUGUUGAUAAAAAAUGUCUUCUCAGAGGUUUUCUUAGUUCAGUUUUUAUUCCAAUGAAAGAUAGCACUCUUGUAUUAAAAGGUGUUGGAUUCAGGGCCAGAUUAGUUGGAAAAGAUCACACAGGAAAUGUUUUGCUUUCUUCUGAUAUGCAAAUUGACAUUAAAUUCAGAGAUCUUAAGCUGGCAAGUUGCACUCUCUGUUUUCCAGAACUAGUUUUUUCAUUCUCUCCAGAUGGCAUUUCUGUAUGUCUACUUUUCCUCAAAUUGGUAUCUAAUAAUUACAAUCAAUCUAGAGGUGCUAGAGAAUUAUGGAGAAUAGCUGCUAGCAGAAUUGGCCAUGUGACUGUGACUCCUAGGUUGUCAUUUCAUAGAUUAGUUGGAGUUAUAGGUCAAUGGAUACACUAUGCCAAUGCUUAUGAGAAUAUCUUGCUGUUAAUUGGAUAUUCUACUAGCCACACAUGGAAAAAGUCCAUUUCUAAAUUGUCUCGUAACAAGCUGAUUUUAAGUUCUGCUAGUCGGCACUGGAAGUUGAUUUCUGACAUUGAGAAAAAGUUGCCUGUUGAAGGCAUAUCACUGGCAAGGAGAAUAGCUCGUCAUAGAGCAGCAUUGAAAGAUUCAAUUAAUUGUCAUGAGGAUUUUGUCACGACAAAUAAAUUUUUCCGCCCUUUUAUUUUAUUACUGUCAUUUAUGUGGAAAUUGAUCUCUACAAUUAUCCAUUGUCUAGUGAAUAUCUUCUCUAGGGAAAAAAUAGUGCAAGAUCCAGAUAUUGAUGGAUGUUGUUUGGAAAGCCUUAUCGAAGACCCUUGCCAAAGUUGUUGUUUUGUGCUGAACUUUGGGAAAAUCAUAAUAACAGUUUCCCAAAUCAAUGAAAUUGAUCCAUCUGUAUAUGAAAAGUUACAGUCACUUGCUGGGAUUGCAUGCUCAGCUUUCCUUUCGAUAUGUUUUUGUAUUGAUGCUUUGUUAUUAAUAUCUGUGAAAGAUAUUUUUGAACAGAGAAUUUUUCUAUCAUGUGGGCAAAUGAAGGUUGAAUCUGCACCUUUGACUAUGUCAGAAGAAGCAUGUACAAUGGAUCCACUUAGUUCAGCUAAAGGAAAUGAAAAAGAAGGUAUUAAUCAUAUGGAAUCAAUUAUGUGGGUUGAACCUGCAAAAAUAUUUCUCCUUUCGGAAAUUGAUGGAGGCCAGGCUGAAGAUUGUUGUGAUUCUCAUAUUGAAAUCUUUAUGAAAAAGUUUUCUGUGAAUUGGAAACGAAUUUGCAGAAAAUUGAAUGAAAAUGAGAUUGAGUUUUCUGAAAAUCCAUGUAUUCUCUCUAAGAUUGAGAUAUCUUCCACGAACCCAGACCAGAAGAAUCCAGAUUUUGGGUUUUGUGAAUGUGGUUUAAUGCUAGGGAAAUUAAAUUUAGUUUUGACUCAUUCUUCAGUAUCAUCGCUGUCUCUAAUUCUUAGUCAGAUCCAACAUGCUCUUUACUGGGAGGACAGGAGGGAAGCAUCCAUUGCGUCAAAUUUUGUGGACAAAGCAGAAAUGGAUUGGGUUAAUAAAUAUGACUGUUAUUGCAAAGAGUUGAUUAUGACCUUGCUUCAAAAGCUUCCAGAGAAGCACAUUCAUUUUGGGGUACUUGUUGAUGGUCCUGCUGCUAGAUUUUCACACAGAAGGGAGGCCGAUCUUGAUGGUCUAGACAUUGAUGACAUUAUCAGUCUGGAUAAUUUUGACCUCACUUUUAAUUUCUGUGAUAUUGAAGUGGUUGUUGGUUCAUCUUCAUUUGGUAUGGCACCAUUGACAGGUCUGUUGGGGCAUGGUAAUGGCAAAACAGAGUGUGUUAAAUUGGACCCUCGGGUGAUUGAAAUUCCAAAACCAAAUAAUGUUAAAUAUGCUUCCUCAGGAAAGAUUUCAAUUAGUUCCUACCUUCAUCUAAAUGGCAUAAAUGCUUGUUUGGAGAAGUCAGAAGAAAACCAUCAGAUUCAACUUUUUACAUUGAAGCCAGUCACUGUCCAAAUAUUGUCCUUUAGGGAUUACAUUUAUUCCUUGAGCACAACUGUGUCUGCCUUUUCAAUGGCUUCUGACAUAACAGCUGAAGGAUUCACUGUUUUGUCAUUUUUGGAUGAGGUGUCUAUGAUCUAUAAGGCGGUUGCAAGUUUGUCUUCUGUGGUAUCUUGUCUGUUUAGUAGCUUUGGCAAUGCUGAUUUCAUACAUCCUGAAACUAUUCAACAAUCACUGUUUGUAGCACCUGAUAGCAGUGAGGCAAUUACCCGAGGAGCUUUACUGAAGAAUAAUGUCUGCCCUUUUUUUAUUAAUCUGACCUGCAGAUUCAACUCUAUGGAGAUUGUUCUUCAUAAUUCUAGGACAAGUGAUAAUUUGGAGAGUUCUACCACAAAGUUUCACUCUUUAACUGAAAACAAAAUGGAUGUACAUAAGUUGCCUGGCUGUGGAAUAUGGAUUUCUGUUCAGCAAACAACUAUUGUAAUAUCUUGUGAAGAAGGGAAAAUGGAUCUCCUGACUGAUUUAUCAAGAAUUCUGUCUUCUGUUUUUGAAUUCAAGAACUCAGUUGGAUACAACAUUGAUCAUAUUGUACUUGAAAAUUUACUAUUGCGUUCUAUUAAUUGUUUACAUGAAAUAUCUAUUUUGGGUUGCUUGUUUACUUUAUGCUUGAGUGGUAUUCAAAAUACCUCAUCUUCAGGAACUGCAAGCAAAACAUUUGGUGGUUUUAAUGCUAAUGGCAAUACAUCUUACUCAGUACGAGAAACUAAUUUGACAGCCUCUGAAAGGUUAAGUAAUCAAUCUUCCCAAUCAGUUAUAAAAAUGGGAUCUCCUACAAAUAUCAGCAUGCCAGCUUCAGCUAGUCACUGGUUACUAAUAGAUGUUGCAAUAACUAAUAUCUUCAUAGGGAGAUGUUCACUGAAGAGUGAUCUGAUUGAAGCACAUAAAUUGAAUAAGCUUCAUUCUUUGCUUUCAAUUGGUGGAGAGUUUCAUAUGAUAUCCUGGAAGGUCCAGGGUGGAUUCAUUUUUCUUGAAACAACAUCUUUGGCAAUGGCCAUUGAUAACUAUUCUUCAUAUCUUCAUUGUAUUGGCAAUCUCACUUCUGAUGCACGACAACCUAAUAAAGGCACCAAGAAGGAUGAGGAUGGAAACAAUACUUUAGAUGAUGUGAUUGAUCAAGGGACUGCUAGUACAUCUCAACAAGCUUCACGUAGAUUGCCGGAUGCAUUUCAGUUAUCUUUGUCUGACUUUGUUUUUGUUUUAGCUCUUGAAAACGAAUCUGGUGGUAUCCAAGAAAUUAUGGUAGAGGUUGACAUUCAUCUGAAUUUUGAAUUGGCAACUACUGGGAGGAAAUUAACAAUUGACCUUUCUCGUUUAUCAAUCCUAUCUCAAAUUAUGCAAGGGAGGGUGGAAGAUGAAACAGCAAUUCCUCAUUUUUCUUCUGUUUCAUCAAAAGAUUUGUCAUCUCAGCUUACUUCAGCAGAUCCUAUUUCAGGAUUUCAGAACUUUGGUGCAUUGAACUCAGUUAGUGAAGCAAGUAGUUCAAAAAACAUUGUUCCUGUUCAGUUAAGUCAUCAAAACCAAAUUUUGAAAAAUUUAAGAGCUUUCAUGUCACUGGAGAGGCCAGAUAAUGGUACUAUGCAUUUGUCUCGGUGUUGGUUUGGCAUUGGUUCUCUUUCAGGUUUUGAUAUGACACUUUCUGUAUCUGAAAUUCAGACAAUUUUGUUACUGUACUCCGCACUCUCUGGGAUAUCUAGUCAGAAUACAAUAAAAAAUUUGGAGAGAAAUCAUUGGUCUACUAGCCAUGAAGUUGACAAUAGUUUGGAAGCAAUGAUUCCUGAUGGGGCAAUUGUUGCUAUUCAAGAUGUCAACCAACACAUGUAUUUUACAGUUGAAGGUGAAGAAAAGAAUUUCAGUUUAGGCGGUGUCAUGCAUUAUUCACUUGUAGGAGAAAGGGCUCUUUUCAUGGUCAAACAUUGUCCCCAAAGAAGGUGGAAGUCAACGGUUUUGUGGUUUUCCUUUAUAUCAUUGUUUGCUAAGAAUGAUAUGGGUGUGCCGUUAAGAUUAAAUUUUCAACCAGGAUCAUGUUUUGUUGACAUCUCUUGUACUAAUGAUGGAGGAUGUGCACUUUGGAGAGUUUAUCCUCCUCAAGGUGAAAACUAUGUAGGAAUCACUGACUCAGAGGCUAGCAAUCAAUCAAUGAAGAGAACUUUCUACCUUGUGAACAAAAAGAAUGACUCUGCUAUUGCUUUUGUUGAUGGUGCUCUAGAGUUUGUCAGGAAGCCUGGAAGUCCAAUCAAGUUCAAAGUUUUUAAUGAUAUUACUGCUGCUUAUGGCAUUUCAGAGACAGCCAGCUAUCCUAGAAUGGCUCCACAAACUACUCUGCGCACAGAUGAAGAAAGUACUUCGUGGCAGGGUGGGAAACAUCCUUGUAUUGAUAUAAGAAUUGAAAAAAUUUCUCUGAAUAUCGUUCAUGAACUUUCAGAUACAGAAUAUCUUUUCCCUCUCAUUUGCUUGUUCAUCAACAAUACACAACUUAUUAUACAAACUUUAGCAACAAAAUCCAGGGUCAUAAGCACGUCAAGUGCAGUAGCACAUUAUUUUGAUGCUGAAAGAAACUUAUGGGGAGAACUUCUCCAUCCUGUUGAAAUUUGCAUUUUUUACCGAUCUAAUAUUCAAGCCCAGCUUUCAGAGUAUAGAUCUCAUGCUGUGCCUGUUAAUUUCUUCUGCAGAAUGAAAGAGAUGGACGUUUACCUAAAUGAGAAUUCAUUGGAUGUGCUUCUCUUUGUGAUUGGGAUACUGAACCUAUCUGGUCCUUAUUCACUGCGAAGCUCCAUCAUUCAGGCUAACUGCUGCAAGGUGGAAAAUCAGUCAGGCUUAAAUCUUGUUGUUCACUUUGAUCAGCAAAGUAUAACAAUACCCAGAAAACAGUCUGCCUCCAUUUUAUUAAGGAGGAUCUCUGAUUUCAAACAUCAAGCUUCAGAAGCAACUUCUAUUUCUAUCCAACUUACUGAUUUUGGUUCUUUUGCAACUUCUUCUAAUCAUCUCUUACUUUCACGAACACAAACUCUUGCUUGGAGAACUCGAAUUAUGUCUACAGAAGGUUCAACGACUUUCCCUGGGCCAAUGUUUGUGGUUAACAUUUCUAGAAAUUCAGAGGUUGGUUUGUCAGUUGAGGUUUCUCCUUUGAUUAGAAUACAUAAUGGAACUGGAUUUUCAAUGGAACUUCAAUUCCAGCGGCUUGAACCAAAGGAAGAUGAGUUUGCAUCUCUUUUGUUAAGACCAGGCGAUUCUAUUGAUGAUUCGAUGGCUAUGUUUGAUGCCAUAAACUUCUCUGGGGGAGUAAAGAGGGCUUUAAUUUCUCUAAGUGUUGGUAACUUCUUAUUUUCAUUUAGACCCAAAAUAACAGAGGAACUAAUUAAUUCUGAAAGUUCUCUUUCUUUGGAAUGGUCGGAUUAUAUUAAAGGUGGAAAAGCUGUCCGUCUUUCUGGAAUAUUUAAUAAAUUAAACUACAGAGUUCGCAAGGCAUUAUUUGCAAAAUCAGUUAAGUGUUCCUUUAGCACAGCACAUUGCACCAUUAAGUCUGAGGGGGUGAGUGUUGCCAAUAUGCAUUUUCUCAUUCAGACAGUUGCUAGAGAUAUCCCUGUUGCACCUGAAAAGUCUGCUGUUGCAUUUAAAAAUGAGAAUCCAACAGUUUCAGUGCUAGAGCAGAAAGAAAUAUAUCUUCUUCCUACUGUACGGAUGACCAAUUUGCUGCAUUCCCAGAUAGAUGUCAUUCUAAGUGAAACAGAUCAGUCGAAUCUGGAUGGAUAUGACAAAAUUGGAAAGCAGGCAGUCAUAUCAUGUGGUUCAACAGUUGACUUUUAUGCCAAUCCAGAAGUUAUAUACUUCACUGUUACUUUAACUUCUAAUUCAAGUUCCAAGCUGGUAAAUAGUGGGGACUGUGUGAAGAAGUUUCUGAAGAAGAACAAUGAUGUCCAUCAUCUGGAUAUAAAUUUGGACUUUGAUGGAGGAAAAUUUUCCGCAACCUUGAGAUUGUACCGUGGAAGCAGGGGUGUAUUAGAGGCUGUAAUUUUUACAUCGUAUUCCAUGAAGAAUGACACAGACUUCCCAAUUUAUGUUCUUGAAACUAAAAGGUCACCUUUAUCCAGAAUUGAGUUGGAGAAUUUAAAUCCGAGCAUUCCUUCAGCACUAGGCUUAUGUUUGCCUCCAAAGUCAAUUAGCUCAUGGUUCUUGAAAUCUGAAAGAGUGCUAAUGAAAUUGCUGGACAACCAUACAUCUGAGGCACUGCUUGACUUGGGUUCUUUAUCAGGCCUUACAGAAAUAAGCUUUGAGAAAGAAGAGGGAUCUGGGAUUAAAUCUGUGACAAAGCUUGGAGUUUCUAUAGGUCCUUCUUCAGGAGAAAUUGUUGUGCCAUCACAAAUGGUGACUUUGGUUCCACGGUAUGUUGUUUGCAAUGAAUAUGAAGAAUGUAUCACCAUACGCCAAUGCUAUUUUCAGGAUGAGGUGGCAGGUGUUAUCUCCAUUAACAGCAAACAGAGAAUGCCACUACAGCUGAAAGAAGGAUUUAAAAACACAAGAGAGUUCAGUUUAUUUGAGCAUUUUAUCAGAAAGCACAGAAGUAAAAGUGACAAUUCCUUGUUAUAUAUUCAGAUUCAAUUAAAUGAGGCUGGAUUGGGAUGGUCUGGGCCAGUCUGUAUAGCCUCACUAGGACAUUUUUUCCUGAAAUUCAGAAAACAGACUAAUGAAGAUACAAUAUCAGACAACAAAAUGACACAAUUUGCAGCUGUGCAUGUGGUGGAAGAAGGUUCUACUCUUGUCUCAAGGUUCUACAAGCCACCAAAUACGAGUCUGCCUUAUCGAAUUGAGAAUUGUUUGCAUAGUCUAUCAAUAACUUACUAUCAAAAGGGUUUGUUGGAGCCAGAGGUUCUUGGACCUGCAUGUAGUGCUGAUUAUGUCUGGGAUGAUCUAACCCUUCCUCGGAGGCUGGUUAUCCGCAUCAACGAUAGCCUUCAAUUACGAGAGAUUAAGUUGGAUAAGGUGCGAGCAUGGAAACCUUUUCACAAACUUGGGCAACAAAGGGUAUUGGCUCCACGUUUGCUUUUAGACAAAAGAUCAAGAGAUCAGAUGAUGGGAUUCAGUGAGCAUAAUGGCCUGGAAAUGACAAAAGUGGGGUAUGAAAUAUAUGCCGAGGGUCCAACCCGAGUUUUACGAAUUUGUGAAAUCUCUGAUAGUUUCAAGAGAGAUACAGUUCUUGAUUUGUGUGCAAAAAUUCAAUUGAGAGCUUCUCAGUUUGCAGUUCACCUACUUGAACAUGUAAAACAGGAAGAAGAUGACAAUGAGAGCAAAGAUUUUACACCAAUUGUAAUUGCAAAGCUUGGGAAUCUGCACAUGAUUAGUAUUUCUAAUAAUCACCAGACAUAUAACCAGUUCAGUUUACAGUACAUCAAUUUGGAGCUUAAGUGGAAUGGAGCUCCCUUUGCAUCAAUGCUUCGCAGACAUCAAUUAGAUUACUGUGACUCAAAUGAUAGUGUACUGACGGUUGUUUUUGUUCUACUUGCAUCAAGUUCCAAUGUUAAGCAAUUUAGAUACUCAUCAAUUUUUCUUCAGCCAAUUGAUUUGAACCUUGAUGAGGAGACAUUAAUGAAAAUUGCAUCAUUUUGGAGGACAUCUCUUAAUGAAUCAGAGAGUCAGCGGUUUUACUUUGAUCAUUUUGAAAUCCAUCCAAUAAAGAUCAUUGCAAACUUUAUCCCUGGGGAAUCACGUUCAAGUUACAGCUCAACGCAGGAGGCUCUGAGGUCCUUAAUUCAUAGUGUGAUUAAGGUGCCUCCCAUAAAAAAUAUGGUAGUAGAAUUGAACGGGGUCCUGAUUACCCAUGCUUUGAUAACAAUGCGUGAAUUAUUUAUUAAAUGUGCACAACAUUAUUCAUGGUAUACAAUGAGGGCCAUAUAUAUUGCUAAAGGAAGCCCCUUGCUUCCUCCAGAUUUUGUUUCUAUUUUUGAUGACUUGGCUUCAUCAUCUCUUGAUGUCUUCUUUGAUCCGUCCCGUGGAUUGGCAAAUCUUCCAGGAUUCACCUUAGGUACUUUUAAAAUUAUAAGUAAAUGUAUCAAAGGUAAAGGUUUUUCAGGGACAAAACGGUACUUUGGUGAUUUAGGGAAAACUUUGAGAUCAGCUGGCUCCAAUAUAGCUUUUGCAGUUGUAGCUGAAAUAUCGGAUUCUGUUCUGAAAGGUGCAGAGGCGAAUGGUUUCAAUGGAUUGGUGAGUGGCUUUCACCAAGGAAUUCUAAAAUUGGCUAUGGAGCCAUCAGUUCUGGGAACUGCAUUGAUGGAAGGUGGUCCAGAUAGAAAAAUAUUGCUUGAUCGAAGUCCAGGAGUCGAUGAGUUAUACAUUGAAGGAUAUAUCCAAGCCAUGCUUGAUACAGUUUAUAGACAAGAAUACCUUAGAGUGAGAGUUAUUGACAAUCAGGUUAUCCUGAAAAACCUACCUCCAAAUCAUUCUCUUAUCAAUGAGAUAACGGGUCGUGUUAAGGAGUUCCUUGUGAGCAAGGCAUUGCUAAAAGGAGAUCCCUCAACCACAUCGCGCCCUUUAAGCCGUCUUCGUGGAGAAAGUGAAUGGAGAAUAGGGCCAACAGUGUUGACAUUGUGCGAACAUCUUUUUGUUAGCUUUGCAAUACGCAUUCUGCGAAGGCAGGCUAAUAAGUUUAUGUUCAGCAUAAAAUGGGGAAAGAAGUCAGAGGAUGUUGGCAAUGAUGCCGAAGUGCCAGAAAACUCUAGUCAAAAAGUGCAGAAAGUGAGCUUCAUUCGAAAAUGGGGAAUCGGCAAAUUUGUCUUGUCUGGCUUGUUGGCAUAUAUUGAUGGACGUCUAUGCCGUGGCAUUCCCAAUCCUGUAGCACGGAGAGUAGUUAGUGGUUUUCUAUUGAGUUAUAUUGACCAAAAUGAUGAUGAAUAACAAAUUUUACUUCUUAUGUUCGCAAAAGAAAUAGAAUGUGAUGUCCCCUUGUGCCUUGACAUGCCGAAAACAAUCCCAUCGUGUACAUGAGAAUAUCGGUGACAAGCUUGCGUAACUUCACGUUCAAAUUCAAUACCUUUUAAAUAGUAUUAAGGGUCCUACUACCUCCAGUAUUGACUUCACUGGUUUCUGAUCGACCAAUGCUGUUUAAUCCUUCCCUCCUUUUGGUACUAACAAUUUAAUCAUUUUUUUUACGUAACUGUGGUCAAUAUCUCACUUGUCCCCAGAACACAAUUGAGAUUGGUUCUCUAAUACGAGUAUCUUGGAGCAGUGGUAAUUGAUGCACCGGAGAUCUUGAUUAUCUAAAUAGUCACCCUAUUUGAGAGGUGAGAAUAAUUUGCUGUAAAAAUUAUUUACUCGUCUUCCUCUGUUAUAUAAAAUUCGAUUUAUUGCA